CCUACGGGAGGCAGCAGUGGGGAAUUGUUCGCAAUGGGCGCAAGCCUGACGACGCAACGCCGCGUGGAGGAUGAAGGUCUUCGGAUUGUAAACUCCUGUUGCCCGGGACGAAUGCCUCCGACCUAACACGUCGGGGGGUGACGGUACCGGGUGAGGAAGCCCCGGCUAACUCUGUGCCAGCAGCCGCGGUAAUACAGAGGGGGCAAGCGUUGUUCGGAAUUACUGGGCGUAAAGGGCGCGUAGGCGGCCUGCUAAGUCGAACGUGAAAUCCCCGGGCUCAACCCGGGAACUGCGUUCGAGACUGGCGGGCUUGAAUCCGGGAGAGGGAUGCGGAAUUCCAGGUGUAGCGGUGAAAUGCGUAGAUAUCUGGAGGAACACCGGUGGCGAAGGCGGCAUCCUGGACCGGCAUUGACGCUGAGGCGCGAAAGCCAGGGGAGCAA
rnacentral:rRNA from 1 species